GAUGAAGUACACAGUGGAACCCAGUUGUGACUGUUUCUUUUUCGUCUCGAAGAAUAUUAAAUUCUUUUAUCAACUAUGUAAAUAAUAUUUUGAUGGAUAAAAAACGGCCUCUACGAAAUUUUUAACGUUUUAUGUUUAAUAUGUCGACCUACGAGCUAGUCAAUACAUAUUCCGUGUUUAGUUAAAGACGACAGUUUAAUAAUUCCUUUUACAUGAAUUAGAUUAUUUUCAACAUUUUUUCUCUGGCUGUGCAAGGAUUUUAAUCUACUAAUAUCAGGAUUUUUAACUUUUUCACAAUGUCUGUCGCAGAAUUUCUAAAGGGACUUCCUUCGCAUGAUGAAAAUAACUUUGCCAAUUUUCAUACUGAUAAUGGAAAUCGAACCUGUGUUAAAAGGCCCUCGGUCUAUCUUCCUACUAAAGAUUAUCCACCUGAACAAAUUAUAGUUACAGAAAAGACAACAAUACUUCUAAGGUAUCUUCAUCAACAAUGGGAUAAAAAGGUAUCGCAAAAUCCAGAUAGGAAAAGAGAAUUUCUGUCAGCUAACGGUGAUGUACAAGAUGAAAGUGCUACAAUUCGCAUUAAAAGGCCACGUCUAGAUCUGAAUAAUACCCUUUAAAUGACAUCGCACAUACUUUAUAUCUACAACAGCAUACAUUUAUACGUACCUUAAGGAAAUAAUAUAAUAUGUGGCGUCUACAUAAAUCCUACAUAAUCAUCUACAUGAAAUAUUUUAAAUAAUAUUUAUAGUAAGAAAAAAAAGAAAUGUUUAUUAUGUCAGCCAUGUAUUUUAUUUUAAACUUCCAUUGUUUGGUAAUAUGUAAACAUCAUUGAGCAAAAAUAUCAAUUGCGAUUUAUAUAAUAUAUUACUUUUUUGUACAUUUUUUUAAUAUUAACAAAUAGGAAGAA